UCCAUAUAUGACGUGUUUGACGUUGUUUCCAUUUAAAUCCGAAUACUCUAAAGCGCUGUCGUUUUAUUUCGCUGCAAUUCUAGUUAAACAUGCCUACACUGAAGGAGAUUAAAGAUCGUGUGAUCAAAUACGUAAUGUUUUGUGUGACGGUACCGCCGCGACGUAGACGGGGCUCUGCCAUUGUUAUACCUGGAAACGUUGCCGUAUUCCCUUGCAGUGGCCCUUGCACUGCCUGUUGCUCCUGUUUUUGCCCCUGCUGCAGUCGGAAUUGUGCGGCCUCCAGCGCUCUUUAACCCCGGGCCCGGGGGCGACUGCAUUGAUACUCAGAUCGAUUGGGAACUCGACGAGGAACCCAGAGAAAGAAUUCCACGCAGACUAAGACACCUGUCUAAAGAACAGAAAGCUGCAUAUCCGGAAUAUCUCCGCCAUGUCCGCCGUCUCACCAUCUCGAUGGAAGACAACGUCAUCUUAGAGAGCGUCUGCCGCCAUUACGAUGACAAGGGCGAGAGCUAUGGCAUUGCCUUGUUUGCCGAUCAUUGAAUACACAAUAAAAUAAU